rnacentral:rRNA from 1 species
CCUACGGGUGGCAGCAGUCGAGAAUUUUUCGCAAUGGGGGAAACCCUGACGGAGCGACGCCGCGUGGAGGAUGAAGGUCUUCGGAUUGUAAACUCCUGUCAUUGGUGAACUAGUAGCCGAAGAGGAAGGGACGGCUAACUCUGUGCCAGCAGCCGCGGUAAUACAGAGGUCCCGAGCGUUGUUCGGAUUCAUUGGGCGUAAAGGGUGCGUAGGCGGCUUUCUAAGUCUGAUGUGAAAUUCCGGGGCUCAACCCCGAAACUGCAUUGGAUACUGGGAGGCUAGAGUCCUGGAGAGGAAACUGGAAUUUACGGUGUAGCAGUGAAAUGCGUAGAUAUCGUAAGGAAGACCAGUGGCGAAGGCGAGUUUCUGGACAGGACUGACGCUGAGGCACGAAGGCUAGGGGAGCAAACGGGAUUAGAUACCCUUGUAGUC